GCUGCUUGCUUUGGCACUAAAAUUGUAACAAGACACAGAAGAUUAGCAUGGCCCCUGUACAAGGAUGACAUGCAAAUUCAUGAAGCAUUCCAUAUUUAA
rnacentral:snRNA from 1 species